GUAAGGAAUAUUGGACAAUGGGGGCAACCCUGAUCCAGCCAUGCCGCGUGAAGGAUGAAGGCGCUCUGCGUCGUAAACUUCUUUUGUCGGGGAAAAAUUUUCUGUAUUUUUACGGAAUUGAUUGUACCUGGAGAAUAAGGAUCGGCUAACUUCGUGCCAGCAGCCGCGGUAAUACGAAGGAUCCAAGCGUUAUCCGGAUUUAUUGGGUUUAAAGGGUGCGUAGGCGGAUUAUUAAGUCAGUGGUGAAAUCUUGCAGCUUAACUGUAAAAUUGCCAUUGAUACUGAUGAUCUUGAGUACAUUUGAAGUGGGCGGAAUAUGUCAUGUAGAGGUGAAAUUCUUAGAGAUGACAUAGAACACCGAUUGCGAAGGCAGCUCACUAAACUGUAACUGACGCUGAGGCACGAAAGCGUGGGGAUCAAACAGGAUUAGAAACCCGGGUAGUCC
rnacentral:rRNA from 1 species